AGUAAUGCCUUAAGAUAGGAUGCCAGUAGGCUUAAUAGGGAAUCUGGUGCGAAACCAGAACUGCCCCCGCAACUGUAAAUGCAGACGAACUGAACAAACCACUUUACAACGUGCUUUCAAAAGGUGCCUGUAAGGGAAGGGUUCAAAGUAGGAUGACGCAUGAGUCAGGAGACCUGUCCUUCUUGAGAUGUUUCA
rnacentral:ncRNA from 2 species